GCGCGCUGUCCGGUGCGAGAGGCUGCAGCGAGAGAAGGGGGUCCCGUCGCUUGCACACUCACCUGUAGCACCUGUCCUCCCCUUUGCACGCUCACCUGUAGCACCUGCCCCCCCCUUUGCACACUCACCUGUAGCGCCUGUCCCCCCUUUGCACACUCACCCGUAGCCCCUACCUGCCCCUUUGCACACUCGCCUGUAAGAGCUGCUUCCACUACUCUUCCACGCGUACUUGCAAGAGGUGCCUUUCCCCUUGCACGCUCACCUCCAGAAGCUGCUCUUCCCCCUGUCUUGCACACUCACCUGCAGCACAUGCCCCCUCCCUCUUGCACACUCACCCACGGGGGCUGCCCUUCCCCCUCUUUCUGCAGGAGCUGCCUUCUCUCCCUUGCACACACACUCCCAGAGAGAGGCCAUGGGCUCACAAGCUUCAUAUAUUAGAUGCAUAGAAUUUCUGCUCCAUGAUGUGACUUUCCCUUGAAUUUUCUUUAAUUGUAAUAAUUUAUUUUGUAUGAGAGCUGGGAUGAGUGAACUGCAAUGCCUCCAUCUUUCUGGAAAUUUACAAAACCAGCACAGAGUUGGGUCUCCUUUGUUGUUUGGAAAGUCAAGCACCUCAGGUGAUGUUAGACUGUGGAGGAUGUUAGACUGUGGAGUCUAUACACAACUCCUGCAAGCCCAGCUCCUUGGUGUCAGACUGUGGUGCAUGGUAAUGAGCAGCCUUUCUGUGGCACCUCUCCUCCGAAGAUCCUCAAAUGCUCCAGAAGCAUUAAUUCUCACAACUGCAUUAUUGUCCCCUUUUUACAGAGAAGAGGGUUAAACCGAGGAACAAGAGGUUAAGUGAGUAACCUUCAGCAAAUCUCUCUGCAAGUCAAUGGCACAGCCAGGAAUAGAACCUAGGAGUCCUGACUCCCAGUCCCUUGCUCUAAGCAAACUGAAUUGGCAAUAUUGUGUGGCUGGGGAAAAACAGACAGUCUGUUUACAUCACCAUCACUGACAGUAACUUUUACAACUGGUAAAAGAGAUGGGUUGGGGGAAAGAGUUUUGUUUAGUCAAGUUUGGGACUGUGCAAAGCUUGAUGGUUUGGGAGCCACGGGGAUAUGAAAACCUGUUUUUUCCCCCCAAUUUCAGUUUAGACCCUCCAUGUUUCAUUCUGAAUUUUGGGUUCAACAGAAAACAAAAACUCAAAGAGAAACUCAACCAAAACUUCCAAAUUUUGCUUGAUUGUGAGUUGAAACUAUGAGUUUAGCAUGGCUU